CCCGCUGUGACACUGGGGAGGUGUCACUGCCCGCCGGGUUCCCCCCGAGCGAUGCCCAGCUCCGCACCCCCCCGUCGGCCCUGGUAUCCCCCCUUUAAACGCUGCAGCGCGACUUUGGGGGGGCGAUGCAGACGGAAGGGGGAGCGAUGACUCCUGAUCGGGGGAGUCCCACCAGCGCACGUCGGGGCCAUGCGCCGGCGAGGCUCCGCGUCCGUGCGAGGUUCGGAGGAUGCAGGACCCCUGGGUCCCGUGGAUAUUAUUUUCUUUCUGGAGGCGGGAGCGGCCCCCAGUGCCCCCCGCUGCCCAGGGUUAGCCCGGGACAGCUGCGCGGGCCCGGGGGCUGGAAGGGGGUUGCUGCCGAGCCUGGCUCCUGCCUUCUUGUGCAGGAAAAAAGAAGCACAGCCCCUCUACGGCACCCUCUGCAGUUGGCUCGGGGUCUCGCUGCGCUCCGGGGAGGGGAAGAGGGUGACUUCGAGACCAAAUGGCAUCAUUUCGCUCCCUUCUACAAUGUCCCACAACGGUGUCUUUGGCAGGGAAGCAAACAAAGAGCAGAAACAUUCUCCUUCUAGUUAUUUCUUUCAGCUUUUGCCCCAUGGUACCAUGAAUGCAUGGAUCCAAACUUGUUUUCAUGAGAAUUUGCCCCUUUCUCACCAUUUCCAAACUCUGCAGUCUCAGUCAUAGCCUCCCUCUCCGAUACAUACUCUUGCUAUUAUUCCCCUUGCCAUCACGGUAAAACUUAUCUGUAGCAGAAACACCUGAUCCAGAAGCACAAAAUCCCCCCUUGGAGCCUUUCUAGGGUCAGCUUUCCUCCCAUGCUUGGCUCAGUCCUGCUUCCCACUUGAACCGUGGCAUGUUGAAUUUAUUAUCUGAGCCCUUUUAGGAGCUUGUAGCUAAUAAACAGCACCAAAACCUUCCUGAGUGAUCAGGAGUAGCUUUUGGGGACUGAAGCAGCCAGCAGGAGCUGAAGGACUGUGAUUGCUGCAGCCAGAUCUUGCAAUGCCAUUUCGUGUCCUUCAAAGGCUUUUCAAACUCUUCAGAACUAGGACCACAUCUUACCACAGGAAAAAAUCUCUCCUGUUUAUCAGCUUCUCCUAUGAAUUCAAAGGUACUGUGAAGAUGUCUGGGUGUGAAAGGUGAUCUUCCCAAGGGUUUUUAGUUUCCUUGGAAGGGCUAUAGAAAAGGGAUGUGUCAGGGAGGCAGGGAAGGUGUCCUGGAGCUCUACCUAAUGUCACACAGUCAUGAGCAGCCAGGAGAUGUCCCAGGGAAGGUCAGCAGCCCUUUCUGGCCAUAGUCCAUUGCUUGUCUUUCCAAGGGGUUCAGCGGGAGACUUUCUCAGUGAUCAGAUCUUCAGUGGUCAGGAAGGAGAGAAGGAAAGUCUGGUCUCAGCUGUGCUUGAGGAAACCCAGGACCAUGGAGGCAUCUUUUCAGGAAGACAACGUUGUUGUCAGUGCCCGUGACAGCAGAAGGGCUGCUCCCAGCAGGGCUGGGCACAUCCCUGGGCCCUUGCAGGAUCCAGGGGUUGUUGUUACAGCCCAGGAGUCCACAGACACGCUCCAACGCCCACUGGGACCUAAGGAGAAGAUAGAGAAUUUCAUCCAAGAAUUCCCAGCUGGAGACAUCUGUUCAGCAGCAAGUCACCUGAUGAACAGCUCUAGCCAGCCAAGUGAAGAAGCUGGUUUAGCUGAUCUCAGCAAGUCCAGCCCGUUCCCCCGAUGGGGUUCCUCGCCUGCCCUGCAGAAGCUGGAAAAAGCCAUAAAAACACAGAAAUCCAGGGGCACACUGAGCCCAGGCUGUGGGCACGUUACUCCACUUGUGGUGACACAGCUGGAGAGUGAAGGAUCACCGAGGGAUCAGCAUCUGUCCCACAUGCCCCACCCCCCUCCUUCCACUGCAAUGAUGGAAAACAGCUACAGCCCUGAGACACAUCCAUAAAUCCUUCACGUCUUCCCAUCGGACCUGUGUCCCCCUCUGAACUGGCUGGUUACCCUCUUGCACCCUCUCUAUAGCCCUCUGGAGAUUUUUUCAGUGACAGCCAGGGAAACCAGGCAGAAGGCUUUCACUCUCAGAAAUAAGAAUGAAGGAAAUUUUCAGCACACUUCGAAAUUCAUUUGCCUUCUCUUAAAAACAAAUAGAAUUCUGCUCAUUAUUAUAAAAUAGCCUCCUUCACUACUUUUAUGCCCUCACCCAGAAGUCAGGGUGCCUGAAAAACACGAUUUUAUCAAAUUUACCUUGUCUCUGUGUUGUGCCUAUUGCAGCAAUGCAAACAGAAGGCAAACCAGCCAAGCCACUUGCUCGUGGGUUUAUCCAGCUUCCUCUCUGAUGCUGGAAAAUAACAACAGCUUCAUCUUUCUGUAGGCUUGGGUUUUUUCCAUGUGUGUAUUUUAAAAAUGCUGUUUUCCCCCUGCUUCUGUAGAAUCACAUGAUCAACACUGACAAAUGUAAGGGGUUGUAUUUCAAAGGUAUUCUUAUAAAAAUGCCAGAGAGGUCUGAGCCUGAGGAACAGCCAUACUUAUGAUCUGGAGAGAUUCCAACAAGUAAUACAGCUCAAACCCACUUCCCAAGCUGUGAACGAGCUUCAGCUAUUUGGGAAAUUAUGAUGACUUCAGAUGUGUUUGGGUAGAUAUGUUGCUCUGCCUCUAAGCUUUGGGAAGGGAGGAAAGAAGGAGAAAGAUGCUCAAGGAGAAAAACCCCUUUGGAGGAAAGACCAAAUUGUUGGAAACCUCUGAAGUGUUCGAAUUAAUGUCAUGUCAUUACACUGUAUUGCUGCACAGGUUAAUAUAAUUGGGUUACUGUGUGUGAGCAAUGAUCCAUAGCAUGUUAUGGCACUGAAACAAAUGACAUUUAACCAAGAGAUUUGUAAGGCACCUUGUUAUCUGCAUGGUGAGCAAUUGCAAGGGAGAGUCAGAUUGCUGGACGAGCCACUGACAAAUUAGUUGUUGGGUUUACUGGACAGCUUGGAUUUAUAACCACACAAUUCCAACAUAAUUUAUGAGAUCCAUAAACAGACAGAUCCAGUGUUUUUACUCAGAUUACACUCUUAUUGCAGCCUCUGAUCCUGUCCCGUUUGUGGUGCUGUUUCAUUCAUGCGACACUCAGUCCUUGGCUGGGGGCAAGGUGAGCUGAGAUCAGUAAGGAGCUGCAGGUUUCUAGCAACAAAAAUAUUUACAGCCCAGUUAAUAAAAAAAUAAUUUGCAGAUGGUGGUCCCACACUCCAGCUUUAGUCUUUCCAAAGAGGGAAGGAUGCAAAUAGAAGGGAUGGGUAAAAGAUGCAAAUUCAGUUCAGAAAAGUAUUUUCUUCACUAUCUCCUGGUAGAAGAGAGGCAAAGGCCUUGUCUGCAUGUUAAAAAAUAAACAAAUUGAAUGAGAUGGGGGGGGAAAGGGCUCAGUCCCAUCCAGAUGGUCAUGACGGUCUGUUUUCACCUUGGCCUCUGGAAGAGAGAAAUCUCCCCAUUUCCUUCCAUCUUUUCUGUGCUGGGCUGGAGAGCAAAAACCUCAGCAGUGCCCAAGCUGCAGGACAGAGCUGUGUCCUUUCUGGAAGGGCUUUAUUUGAAAACUCAUUGAAGAGGCACACACAGCUUCCCCAGGCAGAUUAUCCCAAAUCCCUAGCUGGUGGCAGUUCCCCAGUAUCUCUCUGCUAUGGCUUAGGGCAGGGACUUCUUCUUUCCUGAGGGUCAUAGAAAAGAAACCAUGAUGUGCCUCCCUAUGGCCCCUCUAACAGGUUAGGGGACAGCUGUCAGGGCUGUCACCACCCUGUGCCCCCACUGCCUUUCCUCUUCCCUCCUUGCCCAAAUCCGAAUUUCUGCCCUUCCUUCAGCAGCAGCUUUGCAGUCCCUCAGCCAUCCCCCUCCACAGCCGCUGUGUCCCACAGCACUGCAGGGUCAGGGUGCCCAGGGCUGGAUCCAGGCUGCCCUGGCCCUCAGGAGGUCAGCUCAGGGGAACAACUGUGUCCUUCCAGCUUUUUCCAUUCAAGGAAAUGAUGGAACCUCAGCUCUGCUCAGAGCCUUGGCCCACACCAAAAUUUUUAUUAGGUAAUGAGUACCUAAGCUGCUGGCUUAGACCAAAACUACAAGUCCAAGACUACCACUCAACAGAAUAUUCUUACUCCUAAUCCAGCUGGCAUCUUGGGAUCUCUUGCUUGCUUUCUAGGUUAGAGGACAGUUUUGUUUGGGCUAGAAAAACUCUGCAGAGAUGUCCAAGUGUUUUGGGUGUUCCCCCACAGAGAGGAGUCCAAACUCAAUCAAAACCCUGCCAGCCAUGAGCUGUGGGUGAGUUUGAAGUCCCAGGCUGAGAUGUGGAGCUGCACGAGCAUCUCUCUGCACCCUGGGGCUGAGCCCAGCUGAUGGCAGGGAAGAACCCAGGACCAAGUCUGUCAUUUGUCAGCUGAACUAAAGAGUGGAAACACCGGCGUCAAGUGCCACUGGCACUGGCAAGGUGCUGGAGAGGACGUGGCCAGGAUCAGAAAGCAGGACACGGUCUCACUGGUGCUAAAUGGGCAGACUUGGUCCCUCCCUCAUGAGUGUAGGUAGCUAAGGCUGGGCUGUGCUCUGAGCCUGGGCACAGCUCUGAGCCUGGGCUCUGCUCUGAGCCUGGGCACAGCUCUGCCUUUCUCUUGCUCCACAGCUACAGCCCCUAACAGUCCUGCUCAACAAGUCCAUCAGGGGUUCCCCUCAUGUAAAGCUGUUAUUGUUAAAAUAAACACACAUUAACUUCACCAUAUAGCAUUUCACAAGCCUGAGGCACAGCAGUUGGAACAGGAGGCAGCAUGGAUCGAGGUGUGGGAGCAUUUUCCAGGCAAACCCCAAAGGGUUCUCCUGCUGCAGCCUUUGGUGUGGCUGUCCCUGCGUGGGGUGCUGGGUGCUGGGUGCCUGGAGCAGCACAGUGCAGGCUCCUCCCAACUGCUGCUCUUUUAAACAGAUCUAAGAACCUGGGGGAGCUUGGGCUGGGUGAGUCAGAUGUGCUGGAUACUCCAAUCCCUGCCUGAACCAGCAUCAAACCCCGAUGGACUGAAACACCACAAAAACAAACCCUGCCUAUCCCUGCCUGAUGUCUUCCUGGGCAGACUUUGACAAGUUGCUUGCUUGGAAUAAUUUGAUUCUUUUUUAAUAUUUAAAAAUAUUACAGGCCAAGUUCAUGCAUGGUUUAGCAUUGUUUCAAUUAAUCUACCCAUGGGUAAAGCCAGUGAAAAACUUAGAACUAAAACAAAGCAAACCAACAUUCUUUCUUGUUUUCUUUGAAGAAAUUCUAUACAAAGACGCAGUAGCAGAUUUUAUAUAAAAAUGCCUAAUUAAAGCAAGAGCCCAAACUACGCAUUUUCAUUUUGUUGUGUUCAAGAAGAAAAAAAUCACCCCUACUAAUAAUUACUAAAAAGGAAACUCAGCAGGGUAAGCAAGAGGAAACCUGGCAGGCAAUGGAGGAGGAGAGAUGCUCAGCAUCUGGAGGGGUUAAAUAAACCUGAGCCUGUGAUAAUGCUCUCAUGUUUGCCAGGGAGACUGGGGAGAAAAUCCUAAUGGACCUACUGGAAUCUGUUAAUGCAUUUGGGUUGUGUGUACAGAAAAGACAUGAAGCCAACAGAAGUGGCUAAUGAGAAAUGAUGUGAGCAGUCAGCAGAGAACAUUGUCCAGACCCUGAUGGUGGCAGAGGGAUGUGAACAAUGGCGGGCAGGUGAAGGACUGGGAAGCCUGGUAUGGGAUCACCUUUCAGCCUGAGUGCUGCCAGCACACCCAGGGAAAUGCUGGAUUACAGCUGGGAGAUGAGCUAUCCCUGCAGGGAGGUGCAGAGAGGCAGUUCCCAGCACACACCUCAACCCAGAGACAACACUCCCUUGUGUCACAGGUGAAUAAAUAGACAUUUCCUUGAGCAGACUCUGCCAUCCUGCAGAGUGCAGGGCUGGCACUGGGCUGGCAGCACAAGAAAAAAAUGGUGCCUGUCACCACUAAUGGGAAAAUCCCGUGGCUAAAUGUAAGAAAACUCCGUGUUGGUCCCAGACAUUUGCACUGUCACAGCUCUGGGCAGGGGUUCUCUUCGUGCAGCACCUGCUCUGGGAUGGAAACCUCCGUGUGUUGCCACAGAAAAGCCCAUGUGUGGUCUUGAAUCCCCCAGCUGUGCCUUCCUCCUGGACAAAGGGAGAUGAGCAUAUGACAUGCAUUUCUAGGACACUUGGAUUGUAGGAAAAAUGGCUUUAGAAAGUUUUUAUUUCUAUUGAAUUUUCCUCUGUAUUUUCACUGGAAUUUGAGAAAAGAAAAAUGCAGCUCCUUUUCCUCAUCAACUCAGUGGGAUAUUGCAAAUGUUAGAAAUCUCCAUUUAGGGAUGGGCUUCCUUGCCCUGCUGUUAGUUUUCAGCACCAGCAAGGGCAUUAAAAGACCAAUUUGUGUUCAAGAUAAGAACGAAAAUUCUCAUUUCUGCUGCUGCCAUGAGGCUGAGAUGGAGGAACUGGGGAGACAGAGGUGUCCAGCUGUGACCUUUCUGCUCAGGUGGCCUCCUAAGCUCAUUUGUCUCAGGGCCAGGAUUCUUUCUCGUGUCCCCAUGAAGGAAGCAAAGUGGGAUCCAGCCUGUGUUCUGCUGCCCUUUCACUGUGCUAGUGAUGCUUUGGGGUAUAGGAUGUUAUUUUAGGUCUUUGCUGGUUUAGGUCUCAUUUAAGGAAAUUAUGAACUGUCUUUCUUGAGAAGGGAUGAUAUUUCCCUGAAUUUAAAUAGCUUUGAGCAAACAAGUACCAAUUUGGAUGUACUUUCCCAUUUAAUAUUUGUGUGAUUUAUGCUUUCAAGCAACCCUUCUGCUCUUCUGUUUAUAUGCCCUCCAAGCUCAUUUUUUAACUACAGUUAAUCAGGCUGAAGCAAAACAUAACUCACAGAGAGAGGAUGUUGGCCAACUUUAUAACUUGGGCUACUGUAUUGGAUGUCAGCUCUGCCUCUAAAAAUAACUGCCCUGGGACAGGUGCCUUCCCUGGCCAGCAAAAUUUAAUGUUAAAAUCCUGGCUAGCAGAAGCCUUGGAAGGGAAGAAGCUCAUUAGCAUUUGAAGGGGGGAAGGAUUGGUAUUCCCAGUUCAGGAAUUGAAAGCUGCUUGUUUGAAAUAUUGAUGGACAAACUGGCUGGACAUGAAGCAAACAGUGGCUCAGAGCACUUUGCCUUUCUACCCUGGUCAGAGUUUAGGUUGGGAAAUGGCAGGCUGAGUUAUUUCUAAUCUGUAAAUGCUGUUGUUUGCUGUACAGCAAAUGAAAGUCUGUCUGUGGCUCCAGAAAACAGCUCAGUGAUAAGCAGGUGGAAACCAGGAUCAAGGAAGGAGCAGGACAAAUGCUUUUUGCCAUGUCCCUCUCUCUGCACAAAAAAUAUUUUGACUUCCUGCAGAAGGAAAACCACAUCCCUUACUCUGGCUGUGCUCCUUGAUGUUCCCUUAACCAGGUACCAACCCAUCAGCACCCAAAUGCACGGGGCAGACCCACAGCCCAGCAGCCCUGGUGCCAGGGUGAGACCUGGAGCUUUGAUUUUUGAAGACUGAAGCAAGAAAGAAAUGAACAGAGAGAUGUGAAAGAAGGAGUUUGCAAGCAACUGAGAUGAUACCUGUAAGUGCUUUUUCCUCUGCGAGCUUGGCCGAUGGACACACAGAACUUUUGGUCUUCAAAACAAAAACCUCAUUUCUUUAUGCUGUUAAAAAUUAAUAUGUGGUGGUUAUUAGCUGAUGCUGAAGUGGUAGAAUGCAAAGGAAACAUUUUGCAGUUCUAUUUGCUUUCCAAAGUAAGAGUCAGGACUUGUUAUUGGAUAGCAACGAUGUGUCAUCAUAUACAUAUAUACACACAUACACUUAAAAAGGACCAUGUUAAUAUUUAACUGAAUUGGUUCAUAUUUUUGACUACAAAUCUAGGUUUAUUUGCUGCAAGUCUCAGGUGUAUUUGAAAGCCAGGACUGUCAUAUGUAGUUCUAAGGAUCUGACCAUCUU